rnacentral:tRNA from 1 species
UCCCUGGUGGCUCAGAUGGUAAAGAAUCUGCCUGCAAUGCAGGAGACCCAGGUUCCAUCCCUGGGUCGGGAA